rnacentral:sRNA from 1 species
CCCACAUGAGCAGCGGGGGUCCUGGCCCUCCGGGUGUCCAUCUGUAGCACAGUCUUGGGUCCCUGGUGUGGUCCCCAGGUGGGGUGGGCCUGACGCCAUCUCUCCUCCUGCAGAUCAGCAUUGUGGAGCUAGAGAAGAGCCAGCGGCAGCAGGAGCUCCUGCAGCUCAAGUCCUGUGUGCCACCUGAUGACGCCCUGUCCCUGCACCUGCGUGGGAAGAGCGCCCUGGGCCGCGAGCUGGAGCCUGACGCCAGCCGGCUGCACCUGGAGCUGGACUGCGCCAAGUUCUCGCUGCCUCACUUGAGCAGCAUGAGCCCGGAGCUCUCCAUGAACGGCCAGGCUGCUGGCUAUGAGCUCUGUGGUGCGCUGAGCCGGCCCUCGUCCAAGCAGAACACGCCCCAGUACCUGGCCUCACCCCUGGACCAGGAGGUGGUGCCCUGCACCCCCAGCCACGGCGGCCGGCCGCGCCUGGAGAAGCUGUCUGGCCUAGCUGCACCCGACUACACUAGGCUGUCCCCGGCCAAGAUUGUGCUGAGGCGGCACCUGAGCCAGGACCACGCGGUGCCCAGCAGGCCGGCCACCAGUGAGCUGCACUCGAGAGCUGAGCACACCAAGGAGAACGGCCUUCCCUACCAGAGCCCCAGCGUGCCUGGCAGCAUGAAGCUGAGCCCUCAGGACCCACGGCCCCUGUCCCCUGGGGCCUUGCAGCUUGCUGGAGAGAAGAGCAGUGAGAAGGGCCUGAGAGAGCGCGCCUACGGCAGCAGCGGGGAGCUCAUCACCAGCCUGCCCAUCAGCAUCCCGCUCAGCACCGUGCAGCCCAACAAGCUCCCGGUCAGCAUCCCUCUGGCCAGCGUGGUGCUGCCCAGCCGCGCCGAGAGGGCGAGGAGCACCCCCAGUCCCGUGCUGCAGCCCCGUGACCCCUCGUCCACACUUGAAAAGCAGAUUGGUGCUAAUGCCCACGGUGCUGGGAGCAGAAGCCUUGCCCUGGCCCCCGCAGGUAACGCCCCUCCUGUGCCCUACCCUCAGGACUCUGCUGCUGCUGCUGCUGCUCUUCAGGCAGGAGGGCCGGGUUGCUGGGAGUGGAACAGGGCUUCCUGGGGUGAUCAUGGGGGCUGCUGCCCCAAACCGCCACGCCUCGUUACUGACACCCUUUCCUGCAUCCCACGAGCUGGGAUGCGGAUCGGGCUCAGCUGCAGCCAUCGUGGCCUCAUACCUGGGUCUCCAGACACUGACACCUCCUGCUUGGGUGUAUUAAUUCAGCCCGUGGGGUCGGCCCCAGCGCUCUCGGGGGCUCCUGUACUCACAGCUGGGAGGCCCCUGACUCAGGAUUGGCUCCACACACAGCAGUGCCCAAUGGCACACGACUGUGGGCCUCCGUGCUGGUAGCAGCAUGGUUUCUGGUUCCCUGAGAAGGUGCCGCCUGAGCAGUCUCUGCUGUUAGCCCAGUUUCUGCAAAGAGCCAGAGAGGAUGCCGCUUUGGCUUUUGUUGACACUGCAGGCCUGUCUGUCUGUUGUGGAAGCUGCAGGGACAGCAUGUCAGCGGGCAUGGCCGUGUGCCAGCAAAACUGUACUUAAAACAGCGGAGGACACCAGACCGCCAGGCUGGUUUGCUGGCCCCAGGUUGAGAUGCGGUAUGAUGUGGCAGCUACUUUUUUAGGAGUAAAAAGUAAAAUGUGGCCGGGCAUGGUGGCUCACGCCUGUAAUCCCAGCACCUUGGGAGGCUGAGGUGGGCGGAUCACCUGAGGACAGGAGUUUGAGACCAGCGUGGCCAACAUGGUGAAACCCCCAUCUGUACUAAAAAUACAAAAAUUAGCCGGGUGUGGUGGCAGACGCCUGUAAUCCCAGCCACCCGGGAGGCUGAGGCAGGAGAAUCGUUUGAUCCUGGGAGGUGGAGGUUGCAGUGAGCUGAGAUCGCACCACUGCACUCCUGCCUGGGCAAAAAGAGUAAAACUCCAUCUCAAAAACAAAACAACAACAACAAAACAAGUAAAAUGUACACGGCCGCUAUUGAGACAGGAGGCUCUAGGGAGGCUGGGCGGGCUUCACAGUUGGCCAUGUGAGGGCCCUGGAGAGGCCACCGAAGCCUGGGCAGUUCUGCCCUCGCAGGGCUGGGUUGUGCCCUUGGGGUGAGGUCUGCUCUGCGAGAGGCAGUGACAGUUUCAGGAGAUUUUCAACUGGGUGGCAAACAGACAGCCAACUCCAGAAGCGCCUUGCAGCGCCCCUGCACGGAGGCCUCAUUGGCAGAAGCAGGCAGGCCGCCCUUUGUCCCCGGGUGGUCAUGGAAGUGCACCACUCAUCGUGGGCUGGGAGGCGUGGCCGCAGCCUUCAGGGCGGCCAGAGCUUGGAGUAUCCAAGCUGAGUUGUCUUCUGAGAACAGGAGGGAAGGAGGCUGCUCAGCCAUGGGCUUUCCUCAUGGUGUCUCUGAGAUCACGGGGCCAGAGGGCAACUUACUCAGGGGAAGCCCAGCUCAGCGGGGAGCCCGCACCAGGAGGCUUCUUGGGAGGCAGCAUCUCAGCCGGGACCUGCAGGGCACAGGCAGCCCAGAUGGGCGGGAGGAGGCACAGGGUCAGCCCUGAGCCCUGAGCUUGCCCACAGAGCCUUCUGGUUCCACCCUAGAGGGGCCGUUUUCAGACUCCCAACCCCUUCCCCACUUCCCCACCUGUCCUGGAGCCCACAGAGCUCCUGGGGGGAGGUGCGCCCACAGCAAGGCUUUCUCUUUGGCCAUCCUGUGUCCCCUGAGACGCCCAUGUCCUUCCCGGCAGGCUUCUCCUACGCUGGCUCGGUGGCCAUCAGCGGGGCCUUGGUGGGCAGCCCGGCCUCUCUCACACCUGGAGCCGAGCCGGCCACCUUGGAUGAGUCCUCCAGCUCUGGGAGCCUUUUUGCCACCGUGGGGUCCCGCAGCUCCACGCCACAGCACCCCCUGCUGCUGGCACAGCCCCGGAACUCGCUCCCGGCCUCUCCCGCCCACCAGCUCUCCUCCAGUCCCCGGCUUGGUGGGGCCACCCAGGGCCCGCUCCCCGAGGCCAGCAAGGGGGACCUGCCCUCCGAUUCCGGCUUCUCAGAUCCUGAGAGUGAAGCCAAGAGGAGGAUUGUGUUCACCAUCGCCACUGGUGUGGGCAGUGCCAAGCAGUCGCCCUCCAGCAAGCACAGCCCCCUGACCGCCAGCGCCCGUGGGGACUGUGUGCCGAGCCACGGGCAGGACAGCCGCAAGCGCGGCAGGCGGAAGCGAGCAUCUACGGGGACGCCCAGCUUGAGCGCAGGCGUGUCCCCCAAGCGCCGAGCCCUGCCGUCCGUCGCUGGCCUUUUCACACAGCCUUCGGGGUCUCCCCUCAACCUCAACUCCAUGGUAAGGACAGGGACCGGCAAGGCUGGGGAGCAUGGCCUGUGAAAGAAAGACCAGAGGGAGACCGGGUGUGGUGGCUCACGCCUGUAAUCCCAGCACUUUGGGAGGCCGAGGCGGGCAGAUCACGAGGUCAGGAGAUCAAGACCAUCCUGGCUAACACGGUGAAACUCCGUCUCUACCAGAAAUACAAAAAAUUAGCCAGGCAUGGUGGCGGGUGCCUGGAAGGCUGAGGCUGGAGAAUGGUGUGAACCCGGGAGGCGGAGCUUGCAGUGAACUGAGAUCGGCCACUGCCUGGGCCACAGAGCAAGACUCCGUCUCGGGGGGC